UACAGAGGUCUCAAGCGUUGUUCGGAUUCAUUGGGCGUAAAGGGUGCGUAGGUGGCGUCGUAAGUGGGGUGUGAAAUCCCGGGGCUUAACCCCGGGACGUGCAUUCCAUACUGCGGUGCUUGAGGACUGGAGAGGAGACUGGAAUUUACGGGUGUAGCAGUGAAAUGCGUAGAGAUCGUAAGGAAGACCAGUGGCGAAGGCGGGUCUCUGGACAGUUCCUGACACUGAGGCACGAAGGCCAGGGGAGCAAACGGG
rnacentral:rRNA from 1 species